rnacentral:misc_RNA from 1 species
UCCGGCUUAACGCCGGCAGUCCCCCCAGAGUCCCCGACAUGACUCGCUGGCAACUGGGAGCGAGGGUUGCGCUCGUUGCGGGACUUAACCCAACAUCUCACGACACGAGCUGACGACAGCCAUGCAGCACCUGUGCACGCGUCCCGAAGGAGGGCCGAUGUUUCCACCGGCUUUCACGUGCAUGUCAAGCCCAGGUAAGGUUCUUCGCGUUGCUUCGAAUUGAACCACAUGCUCCACCGCUUGUGCGGGCCCCCGUCAAUUCCUUUGAGUUUCAGCCUUGCGGCCGUACUCCCCAGGCGGGACACUUACUGCGUUAGCGACGGCACCGGGAGGGUCGCUCCCCCCGACGCCUAGUGUCCAUCGUUUACGGCGUGGACUAC